rnacentral:rRNA from 1 species
UACGUAGGGUGCGAGCGUUAAUCGGAAUUACUGGGCGUAAAGCGUGCGCAGGCGGUUGGUUAAGUCUGAUGUGAAAGCCCCGGGCUCAACCUGGGAAUGGCAUUGGAAACUGGUCAGCUGGAGUGUGGCAGAGGGGGGUGGAAUUUCGCGUGUAGCAGUGAAAUGCGUAGAGAUGCGGAGGAACACCGAUGGCGAAGGCAGCCCCCUGGGCCAACACUGACGCUCAGGCACGAAAGCGUGGGGAGCAAACAGG